AUUGAACGCUGGCGGCAGGCCUAACACAUGCAAGUCGAACGGUAACAGGAAGCAGCUUGCUGCUUUGCUGACGAGUGGCGGACGGGUGAGCAAUGUCUGGGAAACUGCCCGAUGGAGGGGGAUAACUACUGGAAACGGUAGCUAAUACCGCAUAACGUCGCAAGACCAAAGAGGGGGACCUUAGGGCCUCUUGCCAUCGGAUGGGCCCAGAUGGGAUUAGCUAGUAGGUGGGGUAACGGCUCACCUAGGCGACGAUCCCUAGCUGGUCUGAGAGGAUGAACAGCCACACUGGAACUGAGACACGGUCCAGACUCCUACGGGAGGCAGCAGUGGGGAAUAUUGCACCAUGGGCGCAAGCCUGAUGCAGCCAUGCCGCGUGUAUGAAGAAGGCCUUCGGGUUGUAAAGUACUUUCAGCGGGGAGGAAGGGAGUUAAGUUAAUACCUUUGCUCAUUGACGUUACCCGCAGAAGAAGCACCGGCUAACUCCGUG
rnacentral:rRNA from 1 species